AAUGGCAGGUACAGAGGGAUGCUACCGGGCGACCGGAUGCGGAUCUCGAAAGCCUGUCCCAGUUCGGACUGGAGUCUGCAACCCGACUCCACGAAGUUGGAUUCGCUAGUAAUCGCGCAUCAGCCAUGGCGCGGUGAGUACGUUCCCGGGCCUUGUACACACCGCCCGUCAAGCCAUGGGAGCCGGGGGCGCCUGAAGUCCGGGACCGCGAGGACCGGCCUAGGGCGAAACUGGUAACUGGGGCUAAGUCGUAACAAGGUAAC
rnacentral:rRNA from 1 species